rnacentral:lncRNA from 1 species
UUUGAAAUUAAACUUACCGCAUCGUUAAAGAUUAAUAGAAAUCUUUAAUUCACAAAUCCUUAGAAUAUAUAUACAAGGAAAUACCAAAAAUAACUUGAAAAAUAAAUUAUAUUAAAAAAUUAUUUUAAAAUAAAAAUAAUAUUGUGAUUUAUUUUUUUCUUCUUCUUUUUUCUUUCAUUUAAUUUUUUUUUUCUUUUCAUCAUUCAUGGUCGCGUCUAUACUCUUUCUCCUUUUCCACCUCACUCAGUCACUUUCACUAUCAUUUCUACUUCUGUCAUUGCCUCUAUGAUUCUUGUCACCUCAUCUUCGUCUUUUUCUUUCUUCUCAUCUUCUCACUUGUUCUUUUUACACAUUUCAAAUUAAUUUAUACAAGUGGAUCCAUUCAUAUUUUUUUAUUAGCAACAAAAUUUUUCGUUGUAUUAUAAUGGCAUCACCCAU